AGAACUAUCAAAAACAACAUCGUAGUUCUAAAUUUGUAGCAGUGCUUUACUUCUAGCACCUAAAAUCAACUGUGCCUAUUAAUCAACCAUGACAAAGUUUAUGUCGUAAACAACAUUAUCAAUCAUGGUGCUUGUGAAUCAUGAAUAUUGCCAAAACUGUAGUUCCCUUCCUCCCCAGAAAUUAACAAAAAACAAAACAAUACAACACCUACUUCUCACUCAUAUUUCCAAAUGACUUUCAUAAGGCACGGAGAGCUGUUCCGAUGAGAAAACAGAUAAAAAGCUUCUAUAAUCCUGGGAGAUCAGCGAAACAUGUGAAACAUUAAAGUAACAGUGAAUGACAGACCGAAAUGCAAAAGAAUGAAUUAGAAUGACAAUUUACAGUCCCUAGCAACUGCAACAAACUGUAGUUCUACAAGUGCGUACAUCUAUCUUCUUAUACUGAUACUGAAGCCAAGAAUCAAAACAACACUAUGAGGUCUAUCUAAACUGACACCAUACAUGUUAGCAAAGCCAUGACUGCAUGUGAAAGCAUAUAUUUAUACUUUUUAAUUAGCAGCAAGUAUAUACUACAUACUGGAAUAAUUUCGGGCAUUUAAUUGAAGAAUCAUAAAUUGAAUUGUUACCAGAAAAAGUAUUGCCUAUGUUGAUCUUUAAAGCUUUUCUUUUUUGCUGUGGUCAUGUUCUAUAAACUUCAAAUAUUAUGCAUAAUUUGUAUUCUAUCUCAAACAAAACUGAACAAUAGGUCUAUACCUCAUUCUUAUGACAUACCUGACUGCCAUACAAAAUAAUAGGCUACAUCAAAUUUUGUGACAGAAGCUAAAAAGUAGAAAUCUUACAUCUUUUUCAAAGCUCUGGUGUUUGUUGGCUUGGAGCUCCUGAACCUGCUUUUCGCGUACAGUGCAGGUGAAAUCUUAGCCUGUUGUUAUAGUCAAAGUACGAUCUCCACUGAAAUCCUCCCCUUGGGCCGCCAUCUCCAAACCUUCAUGUGUCAGAGGAAAACAUAAUAAAACAUGCCAAACGGAUUGAGAAAAGUGACAUAAUAAGUAGUAUCUAUUUUUAGUUGCAGUAGAAACAUCAAGGCUAGGAUUAACUAUUUUUUCGUUGUGCACUACAUCUGCUGCUGCACACAAAAAUGAUCAUUGCAUUCUUCCAAAUCCAGAAUGUCCAGUCUUUGCCAAUCUAGCUCAUUAUAAUCAUCAUAUAGGGAAGCUCAACAUUGAGAAAAGAAAAAAGAUAAAUAGACAAAGAAGAUAUUAUUGCCAUAUUUUUGCUAGAAGAUAACUCAGCCUAUAUGACUAUAUCGAUUUAGACAAAGAUAUUUACCCAAGAUCCUUCUCUCUAAUUAUCAAAAAUCAUGCUUGGAGUCAAAACCAAGCAAACUUGCAUCUUGAUCAGCCUACACUUUAUACUUACAACAGCAACCGUAUACUGCACAAAUUAUCAACAAUACAAACUGAAAGACAUGCAGUUCUUGUUUGAGAACUGCCUACACGCAUAUCAUCCACUUUAUACUUACAACACCGGCUGUACACUGCACAUUAUCGUGCAGUUAUUGUUUGAGAACCUCUUGUUUGAGACCCGAAGAGAGUUGUGAUAUGUAAUAUAUAGCAAAAAUUUGCAACGUGGAAGAUCAGAACACAGAAUUCAAAUUAAUUUGGUGAAUGAAUGAUACUUACACAAUCUGAAUCUGAUGCUGCCGAUGCAGGCCGUGCUCACUGCUGUAGAAGGUGUAUAUAAAAGUUCAGUACCCUGUUCCUCCUUUCCAAAUCUACCAGACUGCUUAAUUUACAAACAAAGAAACUUGUGCUGCUUGCCAUGGGAGAGAUGGUGGCGGGGAAAACACAACCUUAGAAAACAUGAUGCUUGUAUAACCCCAGAAACGUCAAUGAUUUGACAUGAGUGUCACAGGCGGCCAAGCAAAUAUGCUACUUAUCAACACACGCAUGCACGCACAGUACAUGUUAUCUAUCAAAGUAACAACAAAUCAGAGACAAAUGCCUCAUGUUGUCCCCACGGUUCAAUGGAAUGGAUUGUAUCUAAUCAGGACAUCCAAUCAGUGGUGUCAUCAUCACAAUGAACCCACGAACAUGUACAACAAGGGAGCAGGUACCUUUCUCUGCUUGGAG
rnacentral:lncRNA from 1 species